rnacentral:rRNA from 1 species
UCUACCUUUGGGUGGGGGAAUAACAACCGGAAACGGUUGCUAAUACCGCAUAAUGCAGCGGCUCGACAUCGAGACAGUUGUUAAAGCGGGGGAUCCAAAAGACCUCGCGCCUGAAGAGGAGCCUGCGGCGGAUUAGCUAGUUGGUGAGGUAAUGGCUCACCAAGGCGACGAUCCGUAGCCGGCCUGAGAGGGCGGUCGGCCACACUGACACUGACAUACGGGUCAG